rnacentral:rRNA from 1 species
AUGAGUGAGGGAAGAGCCCGGAUCGAUGAUAUCGUUCGCAGGAGACGAAUCAAUAAUUUGUUUCGAGAGGAAACCUGGCACCGCGGCGAGCCUGAGUUGCGGCCGGAGAAUGACCGUAUUUUUCUCCCUCGGACUGCAAGGAUGGAGGAGCUAGAGAGGCAGUUCCGCGGCUACGUGCUUUUUGCUACGGUCCAUGGCGGUCACUCCCCGUUUUCCUCCGAUGAUUUCUGCACGGAGGUUUUACUUCUAUCACGGGAACUGCUGUGUGGCUCUGCCUACAUCUCUUUCUGCCGCUGGAAUUAUGGUGCCCGGUGUUCAUAUGGCCAGCUUGAGUAUCGGACAAACCUUAGUUUUGAAGGUCUACCAGAAACUGCCUGGGAACCGGAAGCAAUGAGGUUGAUUGUUGCAGGUCUGAGAGGCGAGCUCAUUGAGAUAUUGCCGUCCGAAGAUCGGUGGGUAAUUGAAGUAGCUGCAUGGCUUGUCAAUCCUAACAAGGUACCUAAAUCAGUAGAAGUAGAGGUGCCGACACCACCUCUGCCGCCUUGGAAGCCAGAUUCUGUCGAUGAAGGAGAAUCGCCACGACGUCCAUCAUCGCCUACCAGUAGGAAAAUGAUGGUUUUCCCUGUGAUUAUUCAUGUGAAAGAGGUCUUGGACAGUGGUCCCUUGAUGUCUGAAUUGCCAUCUAAAUAUCUUCCUGACGAAGGCGUGGAUCUAUCUCGAAUCCAUGUGUUCGACACUUGGCGUGGAAAAGUUGAUGGCAGUGGCCCUGGUGAUAAUGGAAAGGCCUAG